UUAAUUUUAUCCUAAGAUUAAAUAGGCUCCUAUUUAAUUUUAGGCUAAAAUUUUAGUUUAAAUCUUAUUUACCUUAUUAUGCAAAUGAAAAA